AGAGGUUCUCAACGCCGUGGCUUCGCCUUCGCCAUCACUGCCGAGGGGAGCUCCUGCUCUGCACUCUAGUGGAGCGUGCGAACUCGGCCAGCACACUCCUUCUUCUGCUGGAUUCCUGCAGAAGCGCAGCUCGUUCCUUUUGUUUAUUGAGUUUUUGGGGAAUUUUUGGGAGUUGGGUUUUGGGGGUGGAUAAGGUUUAAGGGUUUUAGAGGUGUUUGGUUUUCUGGGUGGUGGGUCGUGUUUUUUUUUUUUUUUUUUUUUUUUUUUGUUUGUUCUUCACUACCCGAGAACAGGAAGGGAGGGAGUGGAGUCGUCAUCAUGCAAAGCUUGCAGAUACGGCUCGGGUUGAACUCACUUCAGGGCGGGGGAGAAGCAGCUGGAGCGCCAGGUGCCUUGUUGAAGUCGGAAUGGAAAGGAGUUGGGCAGCUAUUUGGGUUCAAUCCUUUGACAGUUCCAGUUUCGUCGCGCAAUUGCGUUACCAGAGCUGGAGGACCCACUGUGCACCAACAGUCUAGGUCACGGCAGCACCGUGGUGGCUACGGUGGGCAUUAUGAGGGGCCAAAGCGGAGCAGAGACGAUGCAGUGACGCGAAAGAUGAAGUCCUUUCAUGAGGGGUCGGAUGGACCUCCACUUCGUGUCCUGCCGAUUGGUGGACUUGGAGAAAUCGGCAUGAAUUGUAUGCUUGUCGGAAACUAUGAUCGCUACAUUAUGAUUGAUGCUGGUCUUAUGUUUCCUGACUAUGAUGACCUCGGGAUUCAAAAAGUGCUACCUGAUACUCAAUUUAUUCACCGUUGGAGAGACAAAAUUGAAGCUGUUAUCAUUACUCACGGUCACGAGGAUCAUAUUGGUGCUUUGCCUUGGGUGAUUCCAGCUCUUGACCCUAAGACCCCCAUUUACGCAACGGGCUUCACGAUGCAGUUAAUCAAGAGGCGUCUCAAGGAGUACAAUAUACCAGCGGAAGGCAGGUUACGCACCUUCAGCAUGCGCGCCCGUUUUGAUGCCGGUCCCUUCGAAAUUGAACCAAUUCGAGUUACACAUUCCAUACCAGACUGCUGUGGGCUUGUUCUGAGAUGUGCGGAUGGAACCAUUUUCCAUACUGGUGAUUGGAAGAUUGACGAGUCCCCUGUGGAUGGAAACGUUUUCGACCGUGUGGCACUGGAGCAGCUCCAGAAGGAGGGCGUGACUUUGAUGAUGAGUGACUCCACAAAUGUUUUGUCACCGGGCAGAACCACAAGUGAGGCCGACGUGGCAGAAGCUCUCAUGCGCAAAAUUGUUGAAGCGAAAGGUCGUCGCGUCAUCACGACUCAAUUUGCGUCAAAUGUUCACCGCCUAGGCUGUGUAAAAGCCGCUGCCGAAGUAUCGGGUCGGAAGUUGGUGUUUAUCGGACUUUCAUUGAAGACAUACUUAGAAGCCGCUUGGAGGGACGGACAAGCGCCAUUCGACCCCGCUAUUCUGGUGAAAGCCGAAGAUAUGGAUGCUUAUGCCCCAAGUCAGCUUCUUAUCGUGACUACUGGAUCUCAGGCCGAGCCACGGGCAGCACUAAAUUUGGCUUCUAUGGGAUCCAGUCGUCUGCUCAAGCUUCACAAGGACGACGUCAUCCUUUACUCCGCCAAGAUGAUUCCAGGAAACGAGACUCGAGUAAUGAAGAUGAUGAAUCGUAUCGCAGAACUGGGGCCCAACCUUGUCAUGGGCAGGGGCGAGAAUCUGCACACUUCUGGCCAUGCAUACCGCGGGGAGCUGGAGGAAGUUUUGAGACUGGUUAAACCGCAACAUUUUCUACCUGUUCACGGAGAAUUUGCCUUUCUGAAGGAACAUGAGCUCCUUGGCAAAGCCCAAGGUAUCAGACACACUGCAGUUAUUAAGAAUGGUGAAAUGUUGGGAGUGGCUCCAUUGAGAAACGGUCGAGUACUCUCCAGUGGAUUCUCCCAGCUUGGCAGAGAAAAGUUGAAGUUGAUGUAUAACGAUGGGGACAAGGCAUUCGGAACAGCAGCCGAUUUAUGCAUUCAAGAGCGAAUGAACAUUGCUUUGGAGGGUCUUGUUAUUGCCAGUGUAGAGGUUAUUCGUGAGGAAACCAAAUACCUCAAUGAAGAUGAGGUUUAUGAAGACAAAAUCUUGAGGGACGAUGAUGAUGGUGACGAAUUAGGACUGCAGGGAAGAGUCCGCAUUACCACCCGAUGUUUGUGGACGGACAAUGGCAAACUCUUAGAAUCUUUACAAAGGGCAGCUGAUGUGGCCCUUGCAAGCAGCAGAAAGGAUGCGAGACUGCCGACUAUUGAGCGACACGUUAGCGUGGUCCUCCGAAAAGUUGUUCAAAAGUAUAGCAACAAACGACCUGAUGUUAUUGUAAUUGCUACUGACGCUUCAGAUGGGGUUGUCCCUAAUAGAUCUUCUCCAGAGAGUAUCAACAAUUAUGACCAACCACGUAAUAAGCCGCAACCUUGGAAGAGAGCAGCUGAUUCAAUGUCAAGCUUUUCUAGGGGUGCCGUAGUAGGAACUGUAGAACCUGUAGACGAGGUUACUUCAAGAAGCUUCGUCGCGGAGGAAACAUCUGAAAGAAAUAAAGUAGUCAUUUCGUCACGAGUUCAAUCGGAAACCGUAUCUGCAAAAGCACAGCGUCUUUCUUCCGAAGGCGACGCGACUCAGAAGAAUGAACGAGUAAAAGCUGGAGAUGGAGGUGAAAUCUCGGCCACGUCGUCAGGUUUUUCUGAUCCCGAAGAAUUCGAAAGCGAUGAGGAAAGUGGAGAUUCGGAUCAGGAAGCUGAUUCUGUUGCAUCUGAUGGAGCGGCUUCUAGCCUCUCACAAGAGUCUACAGAAGAGAUUGAACCUCAAAAGAAACGUCAAAAGUGGAGAACGGUCUAUACAGACAUGAUGAGACCAUUAAGCUCAUUGAAGUACGAAGUACGAUGGGAGAUCUGUUGGUGAAGGAGGGAAAGAAGAGGAGGCCAAGUUGGAAGGACAUUGCAGCCUCGCUCAGUGAAUCGGGCUUUGAGCGUAGCCCGGAGCAGUGCAGCUCCAUGUGGUCAUCUCUUUUGAAGAAAUACGAGGCAGUGGUCGAGGAAAAGAGAACAAGGGAUUCAAGUGUUCCUGCACCGAAGAAAGAAUGGGCUUACUUCGAAUUAAUGGACGCUGUGAUGCAAAAACUUGCCAAGACCGCUGGUUCACAAGAUGUGGUCAUAGAGAAAGCCAAGUCCAAGAAGCCUAAGCGGAAGUCCAAGAAACCCAAAGUAGAUGCAACUGCAGCAAUUGAUAGCACAGAAGUAGAACUCCCAGAUUCCGAGGACAGGCAGACGGCACAAUGAGGCUGCGAACUGUCUGGCUAUCUUAUCUGGGUUGAGAAUUUAUGUAACCAUCAUUCUUUCUCAUAUUGAUAAUCAAUGGGGUGUUUUGUGUUGUAACACCUGGUCUCGUGUGCA